AUUUUGUGUGUGUUUUUUUAAACAAUGGUAAAGCCCCUGCUAAUUUUGCCCUUGGGAAAUUUCAACUUCCUUAAGUGUUUCUGUGUCAGGUACUUUCUUUGUGUGGUGAUUAGGUAAAUACCCUUUAAAUCAACCAACUCCCAACCAUUGACCCCCCCCCCCACCCCCGUAUAUCCACAAUACGUGUUGCGCAACACUCAAGAAGUAUACAGAUCACCAUAAAAGCUCACUAAUAAUACAAUUGGAAAUAUUUUAGUCGAGUUGAUGAUGAAGUGAUACAUCGUUCCUGACUUGGGUGCAGACAUUGAGGGCUCGGUUCCCAUUCUGUGCGUGCCCCUGACUCCAGGGUGCAGUCCGCCUUUUAAGCCAGAGUGACUUGGCAUCGGCUUCGACUCCCUGAAAAUGGACGGAUGGGGCUCUUUUUAAUCUUCUAAUAUAUUCACGUUCUUUCAAAGUACAUGUGUCUGCAACCUGAACGUGUGGGAUUAAAGCUGUUUCCAAUAAUAGCAACAAGUAAAAGGGUCAAAUAGUACAAGUAUCCUGCUUGGAACCAGGAUAGAAGACUGUGGACUCAUUUUACACUUGCCGUGUCAUUAAUACGGUUAAAAGUUCACUUAAGAAAGGUUUUAUGAUGCAAUUAGCUGGACGCAGGAACAAAUGUAUUUUUUUUCCUCACCCAUGCGAAAAAUCACUGAAAUGGCUGACACUGUAUGUUUGCAUUAAUGGCUGAGGUUGUCAUUUAAAAAAGUAAAACUAUAUUGUGUAUAUAUAUUUUUGCCAUCUUUGUUAAAACAGUCAUUAUGACAUGGCAAUCUUCCAUUUUAAAUACGAUAUGAUAUGAUAAUGUUGAAAAAGUCAACCCAAUUCCCUGGCCUCAUUUCGUACCUUUGAUAUUCAACAAACCACCACGCCUGAGGAAAAACAUCCAAUGGGAAAAAAAAAAAAAAAGCGCUACUUUCAAUGCGUCAACCAUUUUUUUGCGCACUGUCAGGCACACACCCUUUAACUUCCCUCCAAGCAAUUGUUCGUCUUUCGUAAUUUACGAUGAAUGCACUAUGCUUCCUAAAAAUAAGCUCUGUAGGAUUCUCACACAGAAGGAUCAAUUGACUCAACAAGUUUCACUUGUGAUUUAUGUUUGAGUCACAGUUAAAUGCAGAUAGUGUUAUUUUAUUGUGCUUGUAGUCUUUAGUCCGCCUCAUUGCCGUACAUCCUCCGGCAACAGCGUGACUCAUUGUUGUGCACUGUGAACUUCAAUACACCCUUGAACAGACGUCUCCGUGCUUCCUCUCCCUGCCUCCACCGAGGCGCCACUGACACGCUGUUGCAUCAGCGUGUGCUUCCCGCUCCUGACCCUCACUUGUGUUUGUGCGUUGGAGAAGAUAGAAAGAAAGAAAAAAAAAUCUGUCAGUGGCGUAUUCAUCACGUCGAGGCUAACAAGCCCUGUGUGGCUUCACACGCGACCCGCAGUCCUCCGCUUCCUUUUUUCUAGUUCCCCCCCACUCUCUCUCCAUCAUUCAAAAGCUCGAUGUGGCCGUACCGCUCACUGCAAUGCAGGAUUUAGCUCGCCCCGGCCUGCCGUGCGUUAGCAGCAACUUUCUGCUCGGAUGAAGCAGAGUUGGGAAUAAUUGAUAUCCCACUUGUGUUGCUUUCUGCGCAAUGGGAACGCUCGGAUAGGAGGGACACUCUGCUGAUAGACACUAGAAGGCUGAAGAAGCUGCAGCCUCAGCCGAGUAACAGCGAAACAAAACCAAAACAAUUUCAAGCCGAGUAUAAACACUAAAAUUAAAACGAAAUCGUAGCCCUUUGCAGCAUUUGGUGUGGAAUUUGUGAAGUCGCUACAAGGAAGCUUACCUCCUGCUGUCCAAAAGCAUGCACAUGAAAUUAGUUCAUGACGUAUACUCACAUAUCAUCGCUUAAAGAACCAAUGACAUGUUGGAUCUAAACCCACAGUCACGUUAUUAAGUAGAACCCUCCUGAGCCGUGUCUAAUAUUUUCGUGACCUCAAUUAGUCAUACGAGCAAUUCAAAAAUUUAGGAACAACUCUCUUAUUAGGCAGUGGAAUGCUACUCAACUGCAAUGAGAAACACACUUCUAUUUACAUCUCUCAGACCACGUCAAUCAAAAGUGAACAUUGCCACCUUUUAAAAAAAAAAAUAAAAAUAAUCAUAAAGUUUGAAACAGCUCCUGGAUCUCACUGAGUUGUGCAAGUGGUUGCAAUCUUGCCGCGAUCUUGGCUAUUAGUUGUUUCAUUUUGCUUUUAUAUGUCGAAAGUCAAGCCCGAAAACAUGGCAGGAAAAUUUGUGGCUUUAAAAAGACAUUAGGAGAGACAAGUUUCAAGACCCAGAGGAGGCAUAUUCAGGCGUUAAAUGAUAUCUGAGGACACAGUCGGCUUUUGUUUUCACACGCCAUUUCCUGGAGGGUUUUCAGUUUAGGAUGUUGUAAAAGUCAUCAGAACGUCUUGCGACAGUGCUGACGGUGGCUGGAUGAUUAGCUGUCACACAAUAUAGAAGAAAGUAAUCCACAUCGCUGGUGCCCAACUAUGCUAACAUUGUUGUCCAAUAGUUGAUGAUCCAUGGACUAUUUGGCACACACACACAGUAUAUACAUACUCACACCACCACUUUCACCCUCAAGAAUUACAUCCACGAGGACUUAAAAUAUGCAAUGCUCUAUUUGUGUCCAGAAAGUUGAGAGUGCCUAUGACAACCACGCAGGUUAAGUGCACAGUCAUCAGUCCAUGCUGUACGUUUCAUGUUUCACACUGUAUAUUCAAUUAGACCCGAAUUUCUCACUAAGAACAUGAAGUGUUAUUUGAAUAAUGGCUCCCAGGUAGUUAUGGCAAACAAAUCUGCGCGCGCUCUUCUACAUCAACAAUAUUGCCACAAAGCAGACAAGAUUCUCAAAAUAUUGAGAAUCAUUCCGAGUUCAACGGAUCCAGAUUGGGAACUGCCUGUUAUUAAUCUGACUCAAUUCUGUGUGAAUCAUGAUCUGUUUAAAGCCAUAGAGUCACUAGCUAAGGUUGACAGUGCGAGGUUUGACAACUCUUUAUCCACUGCUCAGUUGCAUCUCAGCUCUUUUGAUUUCAGUUUUGGGAAAUCAGUUUCCAACUUCAAUAAAGUAUGGAAGAAAAGCAUGUUGCAUUAAACGCAGUAGCCUGAACGAUACUAAACAAAACUAAACCAAACUGGAUUUGGCAUGUCAGCGUUUUCCUCAGUAAAUUGAUUCUAUUCACUGUGUGACUGUCAACAGGAAAAAAAACAACAACCAAAAUAGAAAAACAACAACAACAAAAACGGACUAACGUAACAAAAUUUAGACUACUCAGUACAGCAUUCUCCAAUUACUCAUCUGCUAGACAAAUUAGUAUCCAAAAGUAGAGAACAUAAAUUUCCCAACCUUGAAUGAACCAAGGCAGACAUAUUACAUUAGAAAAACCCCAACUAACAAAAACGACACAGAAUGUAUCAAUACUGAAUUGGUGAUGAAUUUAUCUCCAUGUAUUUACUUCCUUUCUCAUAAUAAAGCGACCAAUCAGAGAGAAAUUGUGAUUCACGAGAUGUCAGUCAUUUGGACUGUACUUACGGGUAGACUCACCGAGGGCACACAGCCGACCCGUUACCUCGGUAACCUCAAAAGCACCUUACUCUCAUGCAGAGUUACAAAACAGGAGUGAACCUAUUUUGGUAGACUGGUGCCCACGUGCUUGCCGUAAAAACGGGCGUAACUUCAUGCCAGAGCAAGUCGAGUCGACCAUGUUUGGGGUCACGGUGCACCUGUUGUGGCGCACGUAGCUGCUUCGCCCCCCUCUCACCAGAAAAUGUAUAAAAUGUAUAAAAACAAAAUAAAAAAAAGAAAAUGUAUGUACCGGCAUAUCAGACAAAAGACUUGGCUUAAAAAUGAGGGCAUCUACAGUUUCAUGUCAAUGGUCUACUUCAGUGUGUUUGUGAAUUUGCUACGCCUCACUGGGCGCUCCUGCUACCCCCGCCAACUCCGCGGCACAUCUACCAAUUUGGUUACCAAAUCUAGACUACAUUUUUGACGACCUAAAACCACGUGUAAGUGCAUGCGCAGGUGGCGUAUUUGACGGAGCCACUGGCAGAUAGAUUCGGCGCUCUGCGGAUACGUGUGCUGGAUGUCAUAGUAUUCCAUUCUCAAAUAAGAACAGCAUUCGACAAUACCUCUGAAUCAUGGUAAAAA